GGCCCCCGGGAACUCGCUGCAGUUCCGUUUGCUAAGCGUAGAGGGGGCACGAGGCGAAGGGGAUCAGGACCACCGGCCGAUCGGAUUCGUGCGGUCCCUCGGCAGAGACAAAGGCAGGGGAGAGCGCGGCGGCACCCCCCGGGGCCGGGUUCCUCAGAGUGUGAAUGGUGGGAAUACUGGCCACUGUCCUCCUGAUAUCCAGAAUGUCAGGCGGGAACAUACAAAAUCUUCCCAAGCAUCAGUGGCUCUGGUGGUGAUAGCAGAGAAGCAUCAUCCAUUCAUCCCAGUGUGCAGAACAAUCAACAGGUGUCAUGGGGUCAAACUUAGUGGAGGAACAGAAAUAGCUGUUAAAAUGAAGCAGAACAAGCAUGAAAAGAAAGAAUCUUUUUAUAGUAAACCUGCUGACUGUAUAGGUUGGGAACAAAGAUGUAACAGACACACAGUUCAUACAAAGAAAGCCCUUCUUCAAAGCCUGCAGAAAAUUACAGCCCAGUCACAGGGCAACUGAAAACAGAUGAAGCAUUUUACUGCUGAGGGCUCAGUACACCAAACCCACAAGGAGCACAGCUCCCAGCAACCACACCCAUGCUUUUUUCACACCCAACAGAACAAAUUCAAAGCUAACCACUCAGACUGUGUUUCCUUCCCCCACUCCUCUCAGGAAGAAUAAGACACUCUUCCACAGCAGAAAGCAGCUGCUACAGAACAGCACUCUCCACCAUUGUCAUGCUCAGAAAGAAACACUACAGUUCUUCAUUGUGGUUAGCAAGGCCAGGCUUUUACAACCACCUUCUCCAGUCACCAACUAGAGAAAUGAUCCCUGAAAGCAUAGCCUUAAAAAGCACCUACCCUGCCAGUCACAGACCAUUCUGGCGCAUUGCCCUCUAACUGGUGGUUGCUACAAUUUGGCCUUCACAAGACAGAGAGCACUAUGAGAAGCCCCCUGUGAACAGAACCUGGCUCUCAGCUUUGCCUCCAUAGCCCCCUUCUGUAGGCUGUCUAUCAAAGCCAAGAUGCUCAAAGUAGCCAUCCCCUUUCAUUUGCAUAAACUGAAGACACAGACAGGCCACUCCACCAAUCUUCUCCCCGCUCCCUUCUCUGCAAUGCCUAAGACAACAAUCCUCGAGCUGGCCAAGCCAAGAGCUGUCUAGAAACGACAGCCUAUGCAGUGUUGGACACCCAGAGCAUGUUUCUUUGGCACCAGUGACCAAAAUGAGCAAGUGAGCAGUGGGGAGCCAGGCUCUCCAACAGGGGUGUUUCCUGAACCUGAAGGCCAGUCUUACCAUGCUCCCGGGAGCAGGAGCUUGAGCUCCCAGUUUUUCUGGAAAUCAUCCCAGAAGCUGUGACUUAAAAGGUAAGCACUAACACUGUUUUGCAGUUAUAACCAACCCUCCUCGGGCUGUUUGCAGGACUGAACACUAGACUUCUUCCAUAGUAAUUGUGAGCCUCUACUGCUUGAGCUAAAGGACAGUGUCCCCCAGCUAGCAGAUUCAGUCACUGGAGCGGGA
rnacentral:lncRNA from 1 species